AGGAUUGAACAAUAUUCUCUUUGUGAAAUGUAGAUGAGGCUUGUUAUGUUCAUGGCUAUGCUAUUUCUUAUCCACUGUUUGUUCCAAGAAGGAGAAUGCGACGAUGCAGAGAAAUCGAAAGGUUGUACUUGUGGUGGUUGGUGGAGACCAUGCACUUGUGGUAGAUCUUUGAAAAUUGAUGAGCGCGAAGAAUCAGAUAUUGUGCAGGAUUUUAAGCGGAUGGAUGAAAUGGCUGAAGAUGCCUCAAGAUGAUUAAGGCACAAUGCUGGUGUGAAAAAUAAAGUUGUAAAACAAGAUUGUAAAAAUAAAAUUGGACUUGUUUA